GGAGUGAGGAGCCAGAUGCAAAGGAGAGAGAUUGAAAGUCAGAAAACCAAACUCAAUGUUCACCAAGAUCAGCUUUCCUUUUCUCCUCCUCACUUCUUCCCUUCUUUCAUCACUCUUCAUCUGCAGAGCUACCGAAAUUGAAGUGGAAGAUGAGACAGCAUUUGGUUACCAGGAAGGAAGUGACAAUGGGCCAGAGCAGUGGGCCAAAAUCGACCCACAUUGGAAAACUUGUGCCAAUGGAGAAAUGCAAUCGCCCAUUGAUCUUCUCAACAAAAGGGUUCAAGUUUUUCCUGGUUUGGGGAAAUUAAAGAGGGACUACAGAUCAGCCCCUGCUAAGGUGAUAAAUAGGGGACAUGAUAUUGCUGUUGAAUGGAUAGGAGAUGCAGGGAUUAUUAAUAUAAAUGGGACAGAUUACAGUCUAAAACAGUGUCAUUGGCAUUCACCUUCUGAGCACACCUUCAAUGGCUCAAGGUACAACUUGGAGCUGCACCUUGUUCAUUAUAGUGAAUCUGGACAGAUAUCUGUUGUUGGAAUCACCUACAAAUAUGGCAGACCUGAUCAUUUCCUAUCUAAGCUGGUCCCUCAACUUGGCUCGGUUGGAAUGACAGAGAAGGAUGUAAGAAUUAUUGAUCCUGGAGAUAUUAAGUUUGGGAGCAGAAAAUAUUACAGAUACAUAGGAUCUCUGACUGUUCCUCCAUGCACAGAGGGUGUUAUUUGGACCAUAACCAAGAAGAUUUUGCUUUUGUAGGUAAGAACAGUUUCAAGAGAGCAAGUAAGGGCAUUAAGGGAUGCGGUUCAUGAUGGAUACGAAGAAAAUGCGAGGCCCAUUCAACAUCAAAAUCAUAGAACUGUUUGGAUGUAUACUCCAAGAGAGACUGUAGGCUUUACCUAGCAUAUGUUUUAAAAUCUUAAAGAAUUCUGGUGUUUAUUCUUAUAAC